rnacentral:rRNA from 1 species
AUGCAAGUCGAACGAAGUAGAAAUACUUAGUGGCAGACGGGUGAGUAACAUGUGGGUAUCUGCCCUUUGGCCUGGAAUAACACGAGGAAACUUGUGCUAAUACCGGAUAAGUCUUUACGGAGAAAGCUUUAUGCACCAUUGGAUGAGCCCGCACUUGAUUAGUUUGUUGGUGGGGUAAUGGCCCACCAAGACUGUGAUCAAUAGCUGAUUUGAGAGGAUGAUCAGCCACAUUGGGACUGAGACACGGCCCAAACUCCUACGGGAGGCAGCAGUGGGGAAUCUUGCACAAUGGAGGAAACUCUGAUGCAGCGAUGCCGCGUGAGUGAAGAAGGCCCUUGGGUUGUAAAGCUCUUUCGUCGGGGAAGAAAAUGACUGCACCCGAAUAAGAAGGUCCGGCUAACUUCGUGCCAGCAGCCGCGGUAAUACGAAGGGACCUAGCGUAGUUCGGAAUUACUGGGCUUAAAGAGUUCGUAGGUGGUUGAAAAAGUUGGUGGUGAAAUCCCAGAGCUUAACUCUGGAACUGCCAUCAAAACUUUUCAGCUAGAGUUUGAUAGAGGAAAGCAGAAUUUCUAGUGUAGAGGUGAAAUUCGUAGAUAUUAGAAAGAAUACCGAUUGCGAAGGCAGCUUUCUGGAUCAUUACUGACACUGAGGAACGAAAGCAUGGGUAGCGAAGAGGAUUAGAUACCCUCGUAGUCCAUGCCGUAAACGAUGUGUGUUAGACGUUGGAAAUUUAUUUUCAGUGUCGCAGCGAAAGCGAUAAACACACCGCCUGGGGAGUACGACCGCAAGGUUAAAACUCAAAUGAAUUGACGGGGACCCGCACAAGUAGUGGAGCAUGUGGUUUAAUUCGAAGAUACGCGCAGAACCUUACCAACACUUGACAUGUUCGUCGCGACUUUAAGAGGUUAAAGUUUUCGGUUCGGCCGGACGAAACACAGUGCUGCAUGGCUGUCGUCAGCUCGUG